UACGUAGGGUGCGAGCGUUUGUCCGGAUUUAUUAGGCGUAAAGAGCUCGUAGGCGGUUUGUCGCGUCGGCCGUGAAAUCUCCACGCUUAACGUGGAGCGUGCGGUCGAUACGGGCAGACUUGAGUGCGGUAGGGGAGACUGGAAUUCCUGGUGUAGCGGUGAAAUGCGCAGAUAUCAGGAGGAACACCGGUGGCGAAGGCGGGUCUCUGGGCCGUAACUGACGCUGAGGAGCGAAAGCGUGGGGAGCGAACAGG
rnacentral:rRNA from 1 species